rnacentral:rRNA from 1 species
GUCGAGCGGUAACGGGCCUUCGGGUGCCGACGAGUGGCGAACGGGUGAGUAAUGCAUCGGAACGUACCUUUCAGUGGGGGAUAACGUAGCGAAAGUUACGCUAAUACCGCAUAUUCUGUGCGCAGGAAAGCAGGGGAUCGCAAGACCUUGCGCUGAUUGAGCGGCCGAUGUCAGAUUAGCUAGUUGGUGAGGUAAAGGCUCACCAAGGCGACGAUCUGUAGCGGGUCUGAGAGGAUGAUCCGCCACACUGGAACUGAGACACGGUCCAGACUCCUACGGGAGGCAGCAGUGGGGAAUUUUGGACAAUGGGGGCAACCCUGAUCCAGCCAUGCCGCGUGAGUGAAGAAGGCCUUCGGGUUGUAAAGCUCUUUCGGCCGGGAAGAAAUCGCAUGGGCCAAUACCCUGUGCGGAUGACGGUACCGGCAUAAGAAGCACCGGCUAACUACGUGCCAGCAGCCGCGGUAAUACGUAGGGUGCGAGCGUUAAUCGGAAUUACUGGGCGUAAAGCGUGCGCAGGCGGUUUUGUAAGACAGGCGUGAAAUCCCCGGGCUCAACCUGGGAACUGCGCUUGUGACUGCAAGGCUAGAGUACGGCAGAGGGGGGUGGAAUUCCACGUGUAGCAGUGAAAUGCGUAGAGAUGUGGAGG